AUACGGAGGGUGCAAGCGUUACUCGGAAUCACUGGGCGUAAAGCGCGCGCAGGCGGGCUGAUAAGUUGGAUGAGAAAGCCUACGGCUCAACCGUAGAACUGCAUCCAAAACUGUCAGUCUAGAGUGUGGGAGAGGAAGAUGGAAUUAGUUGUGUAGGGGUAAAAUCCGUAGAGAUAACUAGGAAUACCAAAAGCGAAGGCAAUCUUCUGGAACACUACUGACGCUGAGGCGCGAAGGCGUGGGGAGCAAACAGGAUUAGAAACCCUAGUAGUCC
rnacentral:rRNA from 1 species